GGAUGAACGCUAGCGGCAGGCCUAACACAUGCAAGUCGAACGGUAACAUGAGAGCUUGCUCUUGAUGACGAGUGGCGCACGGGUGCGUAACACGUAUGCAACUUACCCCAAACUGGAGAAUAGCCUUUAGAAAUGAAGAUUAAUACUCCAUAAUAUUACAAAGUGGCAUCACUUUGUUCUUAAAACUUCGGCGGUUAGAGAUGGGCAUGCGUCCUAUUAGUUAGUUGGUGAGGUAAAGGCUCACCAAGACUUCGAUAGGUAGGGGGCCUGAGAGGGUUGUCCCCCACACUGGUACUGAGACACGGACCAGACUCCUACGGGAGGCAGCAGUGAGGAAUAUUGCACAAUGGACGAAAGUCUGAUGCAGCCAUGCCGCGUGCAGGAUGAAUGCCCUACGGGUUGUAAACUGCUUUUAUAUAGGAAGAAACCUCCCUACGUGUAGGGGGCUGACGGUACUAUAAGAAUAAGGACCGGCUAACUCCGUGCCAGCAGCCGCGGUAAUACGGAGGGUCCAAGCGUUAUCCGGAUUCAUUGGGUUUAAAGGGUCCGUAGGCGGAUUUUUAAGUCAGUGGUGAAAGCCUGCAGCUCAACUGCAGAACUGCCAUUGAUACUGGGAAUCUUGAGUAUAUUUGAAGUGGGCGGAAUGUGUCAUGUAGCGGUGAAAUGCAUAGAUAUGACACAGAACACCGAUUGCGAAGGCAGCUCACUAAACUAUAACUGACGCUGAGGGACGAAAGCGUGGGGAGCGAACAGGAUUAGAUACCCUGGUAGUCCACGCCGUAAACGAUCAUCACUCGCUGUUGGCGAUACACUGUCAGCGGCCAAGCGAAAGCAUUAAGUGAUGCACCUGGGAAGUACGGUCGCAAGAUUGAAACUCAAAGGAAUUGACGGGGGCCCGCACAAGCGGUGGAGCAUGUGGUUUAAUUCGAUGAUACGCGAGGAACCUUACCAGGGCUUAAAUGCAGAAUGACAGUUUGAGAAAUCAGAUUUUCUUCGGACAUUUUGCAAGGUGCUGCAUGGUUGUCGUCAGCUCGUGCCGUGAGGUGUCAGGUUAAGUCCUAUAACGAGCGCAACCCCUAUCUUUAGUUGCCAGCGGUUCGGCCGGGGACUCUAAAGAAACUGCCAGCGCAAGCUGUGAGGAAGGUGGGGAUGACGUCAAAUCAUCACGGCCCUUACGUCCUGGGCUACACACGUGCUACAAUGGUAACGACAGAGGGCAGCCACUACGCGAGUAGGAGCGAAUCCUUAAACGUUAUCUCAGUUCGGAUUGGAGUCUGCAACUCGACUCCAUGAAGCUGGAAUCGCUAGUAAUCGCGCAUCAGCCAUGGCGCGGUGAAUACGUUCCCGGGCCUUGUACUCACCGCCC
rnacentral:rRNA from 1 species